CCGCGCGCUUACAGAUGCCUUCAACCUCGCCUUGUCUCCCAGGCUCUCGUACUGUUAAACACUCUGGCACUCUUUUAAGGCUGGGUGAUGGCUGUCACUGUAUUUUGUCAGCAAAGCAUAAUAUUUCUUCAGGAGUUCUGAACCUGGCACUCAGCGGGGUAGAAAUGAAAAUAAGGCAGUACAUAAACGGAGGGAGUCAGCCGUAAAUCACCUAACACGCAGAGGAGGCAGCAGGUAGACGAGCUGCUGGCUGUCACAGCACUCCCCUGGAAAGCAGAUUGGACACCAGCCAUCAUGCUUUAAUCAAACUGCACAUAACAGACAUGUCCCUGCUCUUUAUGACACACACGUACAGUGUGCAGCGCACACACCAGAGAAGUGCGCUUUCAGACUUUUCCAACUUGUGCUAUUUAAAUGUGGCUUGUGUUUGUUUGUUUGGGUGUCAGAGGUUAUUCUUUUGUGGUAUCCUAAAAGCGAUCUUUGAAGCUUUAAAAUCAGUUGGUUCACGCACACACGUGCACACGCACGCUUUCUUCAAAGGUCGGUUCUCUUAACUGUGAUAUGAAGCAGUUUUUUUUUUUUUUUGACAUGCUGCGUGUCAAACGAUAAUGUUAUUGUUGGCAAGACUCUUUUAUAGCAGUAUAAUUUUAUUCUGACUUUUCCCUUUCUUUCUUUUUUUUUAAUUAAACACUAAAUGUCUCGCAUGGCUGUGGGUUUGCAGCUAAGUGCGGGUUUGAAAGCUAAUACCAAACAGAUGGGGAAGUAUUCAUAUUCUUAUGAGAGCAGAAUUAUGCAGACCCCUGAAACAAUAGCAACCUUAUUAUACCCCCGAAUGAUGAAUUGUCCCAUCGAACUGGGACACUGAGACAGUCCGCUUCAUUCAGGACGUAAUGUUGUGCUCAGGUCUGUUUUAGUUCUGGCUUUCAUGACAGGUUGUGUUUGAAACCCAUCUUUCAGUGCAAUGUUAUUACGGAAUCUGCUUUUCUGCUCGUAAAUCAGGCCUUGCUCAUUUUCGGCGUUUUCCACUGAAUGUCACGCCUUUGGAAAUGUCAAAAAAUUACUUACAGCCUCUAAGAAACAGAAUGACACUCCUGUUGUAAAGUCGCUCUGUGCAAUACUUCAUAUCAGUCAAAAAUAGGACUUAAAAAAAGAAAAAUACAGCCCC
ensembl:lncRNA